rnacentral:rRNA from 1 species
ACCGAAAACUUACCUGGGUUAAUCACUGGUGCAAGGUGCAGAGAUGCAUCCCCCGGGCAACCGGCGCUAGUGAAGGUGCUGCAUGGCUGUCGUCAGCUCGUGUCGUGAGAUGUUGGGAUAAGACCCCCAACAAGAGCAAACCAAACACCAUAAAUCCACACCACAUAAGAUAUGGCAACCUUACUACCCAUAAAAGCAAAUGCACAUAAAUAAAAAAAGCUUAAUAGAACACUACCCCACUGCAAAAGAAAAAACAAAUGCGACGACACAAAUACCCAAACUAACUAUACACAUGCAUCAAAAACAUAAUAAAAUACUACACUCAAAACACAUAAGACACCUAUCACCAUACUAAAAUAACAAUCCCAAACAACACUAUCAACACUACAAGAAAAAAAAGAAAUCUGAACCUAAACAGACAAAACAAAACCCACACUA